GACGAACGCUGGCGGCGUGCUUAACACAUGCAAGUCGAACGGAAAGGCCCUGCUUUUGUGGGGUGCUCGAGUGGCGAACGGGUGAGUAACACGUGAGUAACCUGCCCUUGACUUUGGGAUAACUUCAGGAAACUGGGGCUAAUACCGGAUAGGAGCUCCUGCUGCAUGGUGGGGGUUGGAAAGUUUCGGCGGUUGGGGAUGGACUCGCGGCUUAUCAGCUUGUUGGUGGGGUAGUGGCUUACCAAGGCUUUGACGGGUAGCCGGCCUGAGAGGGUGACCGGCCACAUUGGGACUGAGAUACGGCCCAGACUCCUACGGGAGGCAGCAGUGGGGAAUAUUGCACAAUGGGCGGAAGCCUGAUGCAGCAACGCCGCGUGCGGGAUGACGGCCUUCGGGUUGUAAACCGCUUUCGCCUGUGACGAAGCGUGAGCGACGGUAAUGGGUAAGGAAGCACCGGCUAACUACGUG
rnacentral:rRNA from 1 species